rnacentral:rRNA from 1 species
GAUGAACGCUGGCGGCAGGCCUAACACAUGCAAGUCGAACGAGGCAGCAAUGCCUAGUGGCGGACGGGUGAGUAACGCGUGGGAACGUGCCCCUUGGUACGGAAUAGCCCUGGGAAACUGGGAGUAAUACCGUAUGUGGUCGAGAGACGAAAGAUUUAUCGCCAAGGGAUCGGCCCGCGUUGGAUUAGGUAGUUGGUGGGGUAAUGGCCUACCAAGCCGACGAUCCAUAGCUGGUUUGAGAGGAUGAUCAGCCACACUGGGACUGAGACACGGCCCAGACUCCUACGGGAGGCAGCAGUGGGGAAUCUUAGACAAUGGGGGAAACCCUGAUCUAGCCAUGCCGCGUGAUCGAUGAAGGCCUUAGGGUUGUAAAGAUCCUUCAGUGGGGAAGAUAAUGACGGUACCCACAGAAGAAGCCCCGGCUAACUCCGUGCCAGCAGCCGCGGUAA